CGUAUAUCCUAACCCAGAGAUAGGCCCACGGCUACUACAGUCACGACAGACGGCGGGUAAAUACGUUAGGGUGCAAAGGCGUAGUUUCGGAAUUUAUUUGGGGGUAAAGGCCUCGGCAGGCGAUUUUUCUUAAAGUUUGAUGUUGAAAGGCCCCCCGCUUCACACCGGGGGAGAGGUCACUUGGAAAACUGGGGAAACCUUGAGAUGUCAGAAAGGAGGGAGAAGUGGGAAUUUCCCCGUGUUAGCGGGUGGAAAGUGGUAGAAGAUGUGGAGGAACACCCAGUGGGCGAAAGGCGGACUCUCUUGGUCUGUAACUGACGCUGAGGAGCGAAAGCGUGGGGGAGCGAACAGGAUUAGAUAUCCCUGGUAGUUCCCGCCGUAAACGAUGAGUGCUAAGUGUUAGGGGGGUUUCGCCCCUUAGUGCUGCAGGUAAAGCAUUAAACACUCCGCCUGGGGAGUACGGUUGCAAGACUGAAAAUCAAAAGAAAUGACGGGGGGCCGCACAAACGGUGGAGCAUGUGGUUUAAUUUGAAGCAACGCGAAGAACCUUUCCCGGUUUUGACAUCCUUUGACAAUCCUAGAGAUAGGACGUUCCCUUUGGGGGCAGAGUGACAGGUGGGGCAUGGUUGUUGUCAACUCGUGUUGUGAGAUGUUGGGGUAAAUUCCGCAACGAGCGCAACCCUUUAUUUUUGUUGCCAGCAUUUAGUUGGGCACUUUAAAGUGACUGCCGGUGACAAACCGGAGGAAGGGGGGGAUGACGUCAAAUCAUCCUGCCCCUUAUGACCUGGGGUACACACGUGGUACAAUGGACAGAACAAAGGGCAGGGAAACCGCGAGGGUAAGCCAAUUCCACAAAUUUGUUUUCAGUUUGGAUUGCAGUUUGCAAAUUGACUGCGUGAAGCUGGAAUCGCUAGUAAUUGCGGAUCAGCAUGCCGCGGGGAAUACGUUUCCGGGCCUUGUACACACCCCCCGUCACACCCCGAGAGUUUGUAACACCCGAAGUCGGUGAGGUAACCUUUAGGAGCCAGCCGCGCGCAAAGGGUACAACAGUUU
rnacentral:rRNA from 1 species